ensembl:snRNA U6 U6 spliceosomal RNA
GUGCUUGCUUUGGUACCACAUAUACUAAAACUAGAAUAAUACAGAGAUUAGUGUGGCCCCUGUGCAAGGAUGACACACAAAUUUGUGAAGUGUUCCAUGUUUUU